AGUGAACGCUGGCGGCGUGCCUAAUACAUGCAAGUCGAACGGAGUGUCGCACGGGUGAGUAAUAUAUAGCUAAACUGCCCCUUGCUGGGGGACUACCGUUAGGAAUGACUGCUAAUACUCCAUAGCAAGGGAUGAGACUAUAUCGUAUCAGCUAGUCGGUGGGGGGACGGCCUACCGAGGGGAUGACGCGUCACUGGUCUGAGAGGAGGAUCAGGCGAAUUGGACGGGAGACACGGGUGGAACUUCUAAGGGAGGGAGCAGUAGGGUAAUUUGCGCAAUGGGGGAAGAUCUGAAGGGCCAUCGCGGUGUGGAGGAUGACCAUUGUGGGGGCGUAAGUUGCGUUUGUUAGGGAAGCGUUACCUAACGAAGAAGCACCGGCUAACUCCGUGCCAGCAGCCGCGGUAAUUC
rnacentral:rRNA from 1 species